UGCAGUCGAGCGGAAAAUGGGAGCUUGCUCCCUGAUGUUAGCGGCAGACGGGUGAGUAACACGUGGGUAACCUGCCUGUAAGACUGGGAUAACUCCGGGAAACCGGGGCUAAUACCGGAUGGUUGUUUGAACCGCAUGGUUCAGACAUAAAAGGUGGCUUCGGCUACCACUUACAGAUGGACCCGCGGCGCAUUAGCUAGUUGGUGAGGUAACGGCUCACCAAGGCAACGAUGCGUAGCCGACCUGAGAGGGUGAUCGGCCACACUGGGACUGAAACACGGCCCAAACUCCUACGGGAGGCAGCAGUAGGGAAUCUUCCGCAAUGGACGAAAGUCUGACGGAGCAACGCCGCGUGAGUGAUGAAGGUUUUCGGAUCGUAAAGCUCUGUUGUUAGGGAAGAACAUGUGCCGUUCAAAUAGGGCGGCACCUUGACGGUACCUAACCAGAAAGCCACGGCUAA
rnacentral:rRNA from 1 species